rnacentral:rRNA from 1 species
UACGAAGGGGGCUAGCGUUGUUCGGAAUUACUGGGCGUAAAGCGCACGUAGGCGGAUAUUUAAGUCAGGGGUGAAAUCCCAGAGCUCAACUCUGGAACUGCCUUUGAUACUGGGUAUCUUGAGUAUGGAAGAGGUGAGUGGAAUUCCGAGUGUAGAGGUGAAAUUCGUAGAUAUUCGGAGGAACACUAGUGGCGAAGGCGGCUCACUGGUCCAUUACUGACGCUGAGGUGCGAAAGCGUGGGGAGCAAACGGG